rnacentral:rRNA from 1 species
CCUACGGGAGGCAGCAGUAAGGAAUAUUGGUCAAUGGGCGGAAGCCUGAACCAGCCAUGCCGCGUGCAGGAUGACUGCCUAUGGGUUGUAAACUGCUUUUGUCCAGGAAUAUGUACUGGAAGAAUAAGGAUCGGCUAACUCCGUGCCAGCAGCCGCGGUAAUACGGAGGAUCCGAGCGUUAUCCGGAUUUAUUGGGUUUAAAGGGUGCGUAGGCGGCCUAUUAAGUCAGGGGUGAAAUACGGUGGCUCAACCAUCGCAGUGCCUUUGAUACUGAUGGGCUUGAAUCCAUUUGAAGUGGGCGGAAUAAGACAAGUAGCGGUGAAAUGCAUAGAUAUGUCUUAGAACUCCGAUUGCGAAGGCAGCUCACUAAGCGGAUUGACGCUGAUGCACGAAAGCGUGGGGAUCGAACAGGAUUAGAUACCCUUGUAGUC